rfam:Nicotiana attenuata strain TT chromosome 6, whole genome shotgun sequence.
UGGAGUAUAGCCAAGUGGUAAGGCAUCGGUUUUUGGGACCGGCAUGCAAAGGUUCGAAUCCUUUUACUCCAA